CGUCUUACCCGGGACCAGAACAACGUGAUGACAACCACCAGAUGAGCCAAGAGCGUCAGGAACCGAGAGGGCACGAGCCCGGAGAUCCGACCCAUGGCCUCGGGGGCCUCGAGUGGAGGCCGUGGGUUUUGAGGUUGGAAGUCUGGGGUGGGUCACUCAUCAAGUCUCCCUGAGCAAGCAGGCCAGACCUCUCUACUUAAGUGUCCUUCCCGCGCGCUCGGGCGCCGCCCGGCUGCCAUGGUAACUGCGUCCGCAAGCGCCACGCUGCUGCUUUCGGAAGUCUCGCGAUAGUGCUGCUCCCUCUACCAACGUCUAUAGGCGCGGUACGUGAGCCGUUGAUGGACCCAAGAGGAUGCAGCCAGAACCACCAAAUCCUCCCUUCUCCUGUGCUUCCCACUCACUGCCUUGGGCGCUAGGAGUCGAGGGGACGAACGAGGAGAGGCUGAUGCACCGAGCUUGUCCCAGGGUCAGGCUAAGUCCCCUAGCCCCUGGUUGUCAGAGGACUCCCCCUUCCGCCCUAGAGCAAAACUUUGCCGAAGAAUGACUCUAAUUUCUUCCUAAAUAACUUGUCUCCGUGUCAUGAGAGAUUUGCCGAGUGCAGAAAUGAGCAGCCUUGGGAUGGUUAAAAUUGGAUGUGGGUGAGGUGACUGCCUCGGGAACCGAGGGGAUCUGAAAGGGUGAAGAAUGGAGCGGGGGACUGGAACUGCUUGCGCUUAGCCUAGGCUGGGACGCUGACCCACCACCGAUUUCACUCUUGCUCUGAGUUGUUAGGCCCCGGACAUUGCUCAGUUACAGACCAAGAACCUCUUCUUAGGGUGAUGUGACCGAUUUGGGGCUUCGGAUGAAAUCCCUGCAGAUCGGAGAAUCGGAAAGUUCUCAGCACUUUCCAGUUCACAAUCAAGUCCCAUGUCAAUGGACCUCCCAUCCCACUUGCACUCUCUGGUCCCUCCAUUCCUUUUUCUUUGUGCCUCUAAACCAGCCCAAAAGACAAGGCUCAGGACCAGAGGGAUUUCAUCUAUUCAACAAAUAUUUGAUGUCUCCCAGAUGCCAGGCACUGUGCCCCAAAUCUGAGAGUACCUCGAUAAAGUCCCUCCAGGUUAUAUUCUAGGUGGGGAGAUUGAUAACAGCCAAAACAAGAACAAAACCCAGCGAGGAAUUGGCAGAGAGAGAGAGGAAGGAGGUGGAGGAGGAGGAGGAGGAGGAGGAGGAGGAAGAAGAAGAAGAAGAAGAAGAAGAAGAAGAAGAAAUGAUUCUGUCUCCCUAAAGUAAUACAUGGGGUUCCCUUUCCUAAGCCAGUUAAAGGUCAUGAAAGACAGACUGGAGGUCUUCUAAAUGAACGGGGGGUAGGGGGGUGUCUAACUGAACCUGAGAUCCCAAACCAGGCAAAAGAAUUGCCCCCCCCUCGCCCCCUUUUAUUAUAAAAGACUGAGGUGAGAUGCUUGGCAAGUUUUGUAUAGGGUUUGUAACUUAAACAACAGCAUUGUAAUCAUGUAAUUUCCUGAUUUUUUUUUUCAGUAUUGGAGAUAAGCUCCAGGCCUCUUACAUAUAGGUAGGUAAGCACCCUCCACUGAGCCAUCCUCCCAUCUUCCCUUCUGAGACCCUAUAGUAUUAUCAACGCAGAGAAUGGCAUUCUAAAACACAAAGAAUAAUCUAUAGCAUUGAAUGUCCUUAUAUAUUCAGCUCCUACUUAUUGAAGCUUCUGCCUGUGGGCUGCACUGGGGAUCAAACACAGGGUAUGGACCACGCUAAAUGAUUACUUUACUACUGAGCUCCACUCAAGCUCCUAUAUGGUGAAACUAUAACUUUUUCAUAUAAAAUUGAGUCUUAAGCUGGAUAGGGGGAAACACCUAUAGUCCCAGCAUUUGGGAGGUGGGGGAAAGAGGUUUAGAAAUUCAAGGUCAUGCUAGGUUAUAUAGUCAGCUCAAUAAAAGGAAAAAACUAAAAUGUCUCUACAAAAAAAAAUGUAGAAAUGGCUUAGUGAUUAAUCCUUGCACCAGGUGUUAAUCCUAGCACUCAGGAGGCAGAGGCAGACA
rnacentral:lncRNA from 1 species